GACUCAAUGUGAUUUCUGCCCAGUGCUCUGAAUGUCAAAGUGAAGAAAUUCAACGAAGCGCGGGUAAACGGCGGGAGUAACUAUGACUCUCUUAAGGUAGCCAAACGCCUCGUCAUCUAAUUAGUGACGCGCAUGAAUGGAUUAACGAGAUUCCCACUGUCCCUAUCUACUAUCUAGCGAAACCGCAGCCAAGGGAACGGACUUGGCCAAUUCACUGGGGAAAGAAGACCCUUUCGAGCUUGACUCUAGUCUGACUUUGUUCUAAGGCAUUAUUGGCGUAGUCUAGGUGGGAGUCCUUAUUGACGAAAUAUUGUGAAAUACCACUACUUUGAUCGCCUUGGGACUUAUUCGGUGAUGUUCCUAAUCGUCCCUCAUCGAGGGACGAACGUAUGUGCUUUAAGUCUUCGACACCGAGUCGACGGACGAGGAACUCCGAAGACAGCGUCAGGCAGGCAGUUUGUCUGGGGCGGAACAUCUGUCAAAUGGCAACGCAGGUGUCCCAAGGCCGGCUCAGUCGGGACGGAAACCCGGCGUGGAGCAAAGGGGCAAAAGCCGGCUCGAUCCCGUUCUUCAGCAGGGAAGGGGACCUGGAAACAGGGGCCCAUCGAUCCUUUCUUUUAAUUCUCGGACCUAUAUAGGUACCGAGAGAUGUGAGAGUCUCACGGGAGAGGUGUCGGAAAAGUUACCGGAGGGAUAACUGGCUCGUGGCGGCUGAGAGUUCAUAUCGACGUCGCUUAUUAAUUUUUCGAUGUUGGCUCUUCCUAUAUAUCAUUGCGAAGCAGAAUUCGCAAAGCGUUGGAUUGUUCACCCACUAACAGGGAACGUGAGCUGGGUUUAGACCGUCGUGAGAUAGGUUAGUUUUACCCUGGUGAAGACGGGUCGUGGCUACGGGAAAACUUGCCCAGUACGAGAGGAACCGUAGGUUGGGACAUUUGGUACUGCGCUCGGUGGGGCCGCCGGUGGCGCGAAGCUACCAUCCCGUGGGAGAACGGCUGAACGCCUCUUAA